UUUUGGAUGGCAGAAUAAAUAUGCAUAUAAAUUAAGAUUAUAAGAUAGAAGUUUUUCUUCCAAAAAC
rnacentral:tRNA from 1 species